rnacentral:tRNA from 1 species
GCGGGGGUAGCCAAGCGGUCAACGGCGGCAGACUCAAGAUCUGUUCUCGAAGGAGUUCACGGGUUCGAAUCCCUUCCCCCGCA